GAACGCUGGCGGCAGGCCUAACACAUGCAAGUCGGGCGGUAACAGGGAGAAGCUUGCUUCUCUGCUGACGAGCGGCGGACGGGUGAGUAAUGUAUGGGGAUCUGCCUGAUGGAGGGGGAUAACUACUGGAAACGGUAGCUAAUACCGCAUAAUGUCUMCGGACCAAAGCGGGGGACCUUCGGGCCUCGCACCAUCAGAUGAACCCAUAUGGGAUUAGCUWGUAGGURAGGUAACGGCUYACCUAGGCGACGAUCCCUAGCUGGUCUGAGAGGAUGAUCAGCCACACUGGGACUGAGACACGGCCCAGACUCCUACGGGAGGCAGCAGUGGGGAAUAUUGCACAAUGGGCGCAAGCCUGAUGCAGCCAUGCCGCGUGUAUGAAGAAGGCCUUCGGGUUGUAAAGUACUUUCAGUCGGGAGGAAGGUGUUAAGGUUAAUAACCUURACAAUUGACGUUACCGACAGAAGAAGCACCGGCUAACUCC
rnacentral:rRNA from 1 species